GUAGUUUUUGUGUAACCCAGCUGUUGGAUUAGUUGACCAUUAAAAUGAUAUACCCUUCCCCCUACCUCUUACAAAAUAACCCAUCUGAUGGAUUACAGUCGAAAUACUUUCAGUAAAAAAAAAUAGGAGUCACAGCAUCGGCUUCUUUCGGCUACGGGUGAAACGCGAGGCCGCGGUCUGAAGUUCUCAGUUUCCCCGGGGAAUAACAGCCCAUUACCGGCUCAGAUUUCAGCGACACGCCCGCACGGGAAUCAACAGGCACUCUGUUGUCGUCUGAGGUGUAAAAUGUUGAGUGCUACAGACAAAAGACGUCCACACAUCAUUCAGGACCUGCACAGCUUCACUGGAGUGAAUUAGACGCACAGCUACCUGAGCCUCACCGACCCACGGCAGGAGAAAACGAACAGAGUAGGAACCGUUGAGUAGAUCCACCACCUCCCCAAAAACACUGGCCUGUAACAGAAAAACAGUGAGAGAACUUUUUCUCUCUGACCCAGCACCCAUUCUCCAGGGUAUAUCGAGGUGUGAGAAGCAAGAAGGGCCGUAACUUGACGACAUGAAAGCUCUUAAGGAGCACUUUCUAUCGUCAAAAGUACUGUCAUACAUUCAUCCAUUUGUAUUAUAAGACAAGCAAACAAAGUUUUUUUCUGGAUUUGCACAAAUGAAUUGUUCACCACGAAAAUAGCUAGCUAAGAAAAUAAAUAUAUUCAAUUUUGAUUUCAUGGGGACUUUAAUGUUUAUUUUGUAGUAAUAUGGCUGUCAAAUUUAAUGCUGUCACGAGUGUGGUUUGCGAGAGAGAGCACUCAACGAGGAAAAAUAAACUUAAUUUUAAUCUUCUAGGAACGAAAUAAACACUACAGUUACAGGCUGACAGACAGGACAACAAAAAGGAGUCCACAUGUGUGACAAAUGCGUUCAUUGAGUGAUUUUUUUUUUUUACUGAUACCCAUGAGCGAACUAAGCGGCUCCUUAGGGCCCUCAAGAGUGGCCUACAUAAAGUGACAUUUUGUUUUAUUUCAUUUAUUUAAUUUGUAAUAUAUAAUACCUAUGGGCAAUGGUAAUUAUACAAAUAUUAAAAAAAUUUGCACAUAUUAAAGGGUUAAAUUCACCAUGUUUUGGGGGUGGAGGAGGGAUAAAUUCGACAUGGGGGGUUUGUGUCAGCCAGGGGUGCGUUUCUUAAAACCAUCGUUAGCUAACUAUGAUCAAUCUUGUUAUUUCUAUUGAACUCUAUUGGUAGCGACGGAACUUGCGCCCAUAGUUGCUGUUGGGAAACGUACCCCUGAUCAGAUCAGAGCACAGUUAAUUAGCACAACCUACUUAGGGUAUACUUUUGUUUUAGCGAAGAACAUCAAACAUCAGCAAAUGGACAUUUUAAAAUAAUGUAUCAUUUUACUUAAAAGUAACUUUCUAGUAACUGGGUCUAUAAUUCUGUAAUAAAAAUAAGCUUCUGUUUCAUAAACUGAUAACAGCUUAACAAUAUUUACCUCAGCCUACCUUUUGUUUGCUAUUAUAUUCCAUUAUAAUCGUCAUCGUGCAUCAAUCUGUUUCUAGCUAGAAAUAGAUCGAGAUACGUUGUUUUGCAGAUGCUCUCUGCUGUUUAAUAUUUAGCACAAAAACAUAAAUCUCGUAACAAAAUUACAAUUUUGAAUAAUAUUUAUGUUCUGUAAAUGCAUUGUCUGCUGGUUUAUUUGGCUACUUUUCAGUACACCAACAUCUUAACCCGGAUUUUGUCUAAACUAAGGUUUUUAAGCAGUCAUUACUUAUUCUUUAUUGUUUUGUUUUGUUUUAGUUGUCACUGCUAAAAAUUAGUAGUUGUUUGCACUAUUCAGACGACUAAUUGCCUGCACUGAUCAAGUUAAGUAGACAUCACUCUGUAUUUUACGUUUUUGAAGAGUGAUGGGAGGGGCUUUUUGAAGCAGAGAUCAGCGGCUUCCUGAAAAAGCAACAAUCCAAGUCAUCUCUGUAAUUGAGCUGGUUCCUGUUUUAGCAUCUGUAGAAAGCUUAGAUGACAGCCACAGUACGGCAGAUACCGAAAUCCUUUCACAAUCGUCUCAGGAGCGACGAACACAGUGGCCAGAGCAAUUUGAAGUCCCAAAUUUCUCUUUUGAUGUCGGGUAUAGACUCAGACAAGCAAAUCUGUAUCUUAGGGAUGGAACACUCCUUAAAGUAACAAAAGAUCUUAAAAACGAGGUCCUUGAGAUAUUGGGAGAGAGUAUUGCUUCACAGCAUAUCCAAACAAUGCUCAGUUUGAAAAAGCUGCAGCAGCACUGAUAAACAAGCAUCCUUGUCUCCAAGAGAAAGGCUCAACCAGUAGCUGCAGUGGUCGGAAGAACAGUUUAAAAUAUAACAUGGCUAAUUACAGGUCAAAGCUCAGACAGUCGGGGUGUUGCAGUGAUGUUGCAGUAAAUUCUGGUAAGUGUGGAGGGCAUUCAAGUCCAGGAGAAUCAGCUAACAAAAAUAUUAAUGCAAAAAAAGGCGAGCUCAACUUCUUACCCAACUUUCCAGAUGGAUUCGAUUUGAACAGGCCUUGAGGAUGCCCGCAAGAUCUUGGUCGAUGAAAUGCAGAAACGAACACCAAAUGGACAACUUGUGAAAGAGAAAAUGGAACUUACAUUUGCACUAAGAAGAAGAGAAGUGAUGGAGACCGAGCCUGCCAUAAGUCAGAUGGUGGAGCGCUGGCCUUCCCUUUUUACGGAGGAUCAGGUGUUCAUGGAGUUUAACAGGAUUGUGGGAAAGAACCUCAAGCAUGAAUUCUAUGAAAGCAUUGAUCAACACAGUCUUCAUCUAAUUGAGAUCUUUCGAUCUAAGAGAGGGAAUGUCGGACAGCUGUUGACACAGCUUUUAAAACAAUCCAAGGUUGGUCCAUUGUACACUUGUAUUAUAUAAAAAAAAACAAUCCUCCUUGUUGAGCAUGAAGGUGCUGUGACUCCAUCUUCUCUGCAUCUCAGUCCAGCCUCAUUCAAGAUUGUCAUUGAGGGAGAAGUUGUGAUGGAAAGCAUUAAAGACUUGUCAAAAGCAAUGUGUAUUCUUUUUGGACUUACAUAUGCACUGCAUCUUAACUACCCCAAAUCGAUGAAGAACACAUUCCAAUUCAUCCAACAAGUACUUCUCACGUUCGGGCACACUGACUUAAAGCCCAAGUUACAAGCAUUAAAAAAAAUAGCUUGCAAUUUAAUCUUGACAGGAAUGGCCGUUGUUCUUGUAUUGUUCUUGAGUUGCACAAUUAAUCUCUGAAGAGAUUAUCUUGUUCAAAAUGUCAUGUCAUUGCAGUAAGUGAUGUAAAGUUUAACAGUGUUUUGUGUUUAAAAUUCAAAGUGGUUAUCCUUAAGCUUUAGAGACUUGAUUAAAACUCGAGUUUUAAUGCUUAUCCAGUCUAGUCAUUCAGAAGGAUAUGGCAUAUUGUUGAAUACUAUGUGUUCCUGUUACUGUAAGCCAUUUGCACAGGUGUUAACAAACAACAUCGUGUUACCUGUUUUUAUGAGCAAUAAAAACAUUGAAAUGCU